UACAAGUCAAUGCUUGAACAUUGGGAAGAAGAUGAAGAGGGUUAAUACCUUGUGAUGAGCCUCCGAUGGAGCCCAAGAAGGCGAAACUUGUA
rnacentral:hammerhead_ribozyme from 15 species